rnacentral:rRNA from 1 species
AUUGAACGCUGGCGGCAUGCUUUACACAUGCAAGUCGAACGGUAACAGGCCUUCGGGUGCUGACGAGUGGCGCACGGGGGAGUAAUGCAUCGGAACGUACCCAGAGUUGGGGGAUAACGCAGCGAAAGCUGUGCUAAUAUCGCAUGUGAUCUGAGGAUGAAAGCGGGGGACCGAGCAGCAAUGUUUGGCCUCGCGCCUUUGGAGCUGCCGAUGUCGGAUUAGCUAGUUGGUGGGGUAAAGGCCUACCAAGGCGACGAUCCGUAGCUGGUCUGAGAGGACGACCAGCCACACUGGGACUGAGACACGGCCCAGACUCCUACGGGAGGCAGCAGUGGGGAAUUUUGGACAAUGGGCGCAAGCCUGAUCCAGCAAUGCCGCGUGCGGGAAGAAGGCCUUCGGGUUGUAAAGCGCUUUUGGCAGGAACGAAACGGUGUCCGCUAAUACCGGGCGGUAAUGACGGUACCUGCAGAAUAAGCACCGGCUAACUACGUG